GAUGAACGCUGGCGGCGUGCCUAAUACAUGCAAGUCGAGCGAACAGACGAGGAGCUUGCUCCUUUGACGUUAGCGGCGGACGGGUGAGUAACACGUGGGUAACCUACCUAUAAGACUGGGAUAACUUCGGGAAACCGGAGCUAAUACCGGAUAAUAUUUCGAACCGCAUGGUUCGAUAGUGAAAGAUGGCUUUGCUAUCACUUAUAGAUGGACCUGCGCCGUAUUAGCUAGUUGGUAAGGUAACGGCUUACCAAGGCAACGAUACGUAGCCGACCUGAGAGGGUGAUCGGCCACACUGGAACUGAGACACGGUCCAGACUCCUACGGGAGGCAGCAGUAGGGAAUCUUCCGCAAUGGGCGAAAGCCUGACGGAGCAACGCCGCGUGAGUGAUGAAGGUCUUCGGAUCGUAAAACUCUGUUAUUAGGGAAGAACAAACGUGUAAGUAACUGUGCACGUCUUGACGGUACCUAAUCAGAAAGCCACGGCUAACUACGUGCCAGCAGCCGCGGUAGUACGUAGGUGGCAAGCGUUAUCCGGAAUUAUUGGGCGUAAAGCGCGCGUAGGCGGUUUUUUAAGUCUGAUGUGAAAGCCCACGGCUCAACCGUGGAGGGUCAUUGGAAACUGGAAAACUUGAGUGCAGAAGAGGAAAGUGGAAUUCCAUGUGUAGCGGUGAAAUGCGCAGAGAUAUGGAGGAACACCAGUGGCGAAGGCGACUUUCUGGUCUGUAACUGACGCUGAUGUGCGAAAGCGUGGGGAUCAAACAGGAUUAGAUACCCUGGUAGUCCACGCCGUAAACGAUGAGUGCUAAGUGUUAGGGGGGUUUCCGCCCCUUAGUGCUGCAGCUAACGCAUUAAGCACUCCGCCUGGGGAGUACGACCGCAAGGUUGAAACUCAAAGGAAUUGACGGGGACCCGCACAAGCGGUGGAGCAUGUGGUUUAAUUCGAAGCAACGCGAAGAACCUUACCAAAUCUUGACAUCCUUUGACCCUUCUAGAGAUAGAAGUUUCCCCUUCGGGGGACAAAGUGACAGGUGGUGCAUGGUUGUCGUCAGUUCGUGUCGUGAGAUGUUGGGUUAAGUCCCGCAACGAGCGCAACCCUUAAGCUUAGUUGCCAUCAUUAAGUUGGGCACUCUAAGUUGACUGCCGGUGACAAACCGGAGGAAGGUGGGGAUGACGUCAAAUCAUCAUGCCCCUUAUGAUUUGGGCUACACACGUGCUACAAUGGACAAUACAAAGGGCAGCGAAACCGCGAGGUCAAGCAAAUCCCAUAAAGUUGUUCUCAGUUCGGAUUGUAGUCUGCAACUCGACUACAUGAAGCUGGAAUCGCUAGUAAUCGUAGAUCAGCAUGCUACGGUGAAUACGUUCCCGGGUCU
rnacentral:rRNA from 1 species